rnacentral:rRNA from 1 species
UGGGGAAUAUUGGGCAAUGGGCGCAAGCCUGACCCAGCAACGCCGCGUGAGGGAAGAAGGCUUUCGGGUUGUAAACCUCUGUCCUUGGUGACGAAACAAAUGACGGUAGCCAAGGAGGAAGCCCCGGCUAACUACGUGCCAGCAGCCGCGGUAAUACGUAGGGGGCGAGCGUUGUCCGGAAUUACUGGGCGUAAAGGGUGCGUAGGUGGCCUUUUAAGUUGGAUGUGAAAUACCCGGGCUUAACUUGGGGGGUGCAUCCAAAACUGGAAGGCUAGAGUGCAGGAGAGGAAAGCGGAAUUCCUAGUGUAGCGGUGAAAAGCGUAGAUAUUAGGAGGAACACCAGUAGCGAAGGCGGCUUUCUGGACUGUAACUGACACUGAGGCACGAAAGCGUGGGGAGCAAACAG